UGGGGAAUAUUGCGCAAUGGGCGAAAGCCUGACGCAGCGACGCCGCGUGGGUGAUGAAGGCCUUCGGGUCGUAAAACCCUGUCGGGUGGAACGAAUUCCCUCUUCGCUAAUAUCGGGGAGGAUUGACGGUACCACCGAAGGAAGCCCCGGCUAACUACGUGCCAGCAGCCGCGGUAAUACGUAGGGGGCGAGCGUUGUUCGGAUUUACUGGGCGUAAAGAGCGCGUAGGCGGUACGAUAAGUCGGAGGUGAAAUCCCUCGGCUCAACCGAGGACCCGCGUCCGAUACUGUCGAACUUGAGUGCAGGAGAGGAGAGCGGAAUUCCCAGUGUAGCGGUGAAAUGCGUAGAUACUGGGAGGAACACCGGUGGCGAAGGCGGCUCUCUGGACUGUCACUGACGCUGAGGCGCGAAAGCUAGGGGAGCAAACGGG
rnacentral:rRNA from 1 species